AUGGACUUUAACUCGGAUCUCAUGGCCUCCAGCCCUGCCUCAGAAUCUGGGCUCACCAUCGCUUCCGCUUACGUGGCCGGCUCAUCACUCUCUAGUAGCAAUACAUCACGCACUCUGCGCAAUCUUUCCGACCUCCAUGGUUCCAGUGCCGCUUCCACUACGGGUUCCCUGACUGACUCCGGUAUGAUCUUAUCACCAGCCGAGCCAUCCCCGAGUGGUUCUCGAAUUUCUUCAAGUCGAACCGUCCUCCCACUGGCCUCCCGACUGAGAAACUCUUUCUCAAGGAAAACCACGUUCCGAGCAACAAACACUUUGUUCUCUUCCCGGUUGUAG
rnacentral:rRNA from 1 species